ACCGCGAGUCGAAAGGGGGGUGGCGUUCAUCCUUGUGCAGAGAGUCUUUAAGCUCAAUAUGUUGAGGCCUUCGGGCUGUUUCCUGCAGUAGCUUCAGUGUCUCUUGGAAAGCGUCGUGGUUGGAAACAAAUGGUAAAUGGUACGUGGCAGGGGCCAAAGGAACCUAUUUUGUGAAGAAAAGUUCCCGAGACAGCUUCAGACACCUUGAUGUUUCUUGAACCCAUUUGUCGAACUUCAGAAACUCAGAGACAUUCAUUUGUGUUUUAAUGAUGCAAGUGCGAAUGGAUGUAUAUCCUGCUUUCAAGAAAUGGACUUCUCUUGUUCGUCUAGUGCCUGCUCGAUGCCGGCGAAAGAAUUUCAUGGGAACGGAUACCUAGUUCCCCAAGUGUAGGAAAGGUGUGUGUCUUUCCUUUAGACUGAGAAAGACAGAAACGUGCUGGUGUUCAUUUGAGGAUUUUAUUGCCAGUGGUCUGGCCUCCCUGAGAAUAUUGGACAAAGUAUUUCACUAUUGCAGAAGGGCUGUCCUUGUUUCCAGUGUAUUGGUUUGCUCUGCCCUGGACAGAACAAGGUGGUGGGCUGGACCGAGGAAAGCAGUAAAGAAGGACCUGGAAAGAAUAGCCCGGAGUGCCACAGGAGCUGCCCGGGAGGACUGCAGAUGCCCUCACCACUGCACAAUCAUAGAGACAGUGCUGGUCCUGCAGAGAGAAUGAAGCUACCAAAGAGAACACAGAUACAGGAUGCUCAAGUUAAACAAAACCACAACAGCACGAAGUCCUUGACAUUAGAAAGUUAAACAGACAUCCAGAAAGCUGCAAAGCAAAUUGGAGAGAUGCCAAGACUUCACUAGAAAUCACUGAUGGGAAUUUCAUACUUCAUGACUUUUCUUUGAGCAAGUGUGAAAGCAAAAUCUGAAGAACUGUCUGUGAUGAGCACUAAGAGUUCUGAAAUAGAAUGGGACUCAUAGAAGGACAAGAACGACAUAGAUCACCCAGAAGAGGGUCCAGAAGAAUACAGAUUAUUCUCAGCCACACUGCAUAGGCUUAUCAUCAGUUCUUUAGUGAGGAAGAACAAGAAAUCAAUAGCCAACCCACUCUAAAAUCUUUACUAUAAAGAUCUCAUUACAAUAUGGAUUCAGUCAUUCUUUAAAAAAAAUAUAUAUAUAUAUAAGUGCCAUACAUUGGAG
rnacentral:lncRNA from 1 species